ensembl:lncRNA
AGCAGAUGGGUUGGUGAUCCAUAGGGCAAAAUAACAGAUAGGCACUGGAAUUCUUGAAGAGUUUAUACCAAGUAUACUGACAUCUUCUGGGGCUUCCCAGGUGCUGCUAGUGUUAAAGAACCCACCUGCCAAUGCAGGAGAUGUCAGAGAUCCAGGUUCGAUCCUUGGGUCAGGAAGAUCCCCUGGAGGAGAACACGGCAACCCUCUUCAGUAUUCUUGCCUGGAGAACCCCGUGGACAGAGGAGCCUGGCAGGUCACACAUGCAGUGAGUGUGGACAUCAUCUUGACCUAGACACCCAGAUACCAGCAUCUCCAGGACAAAGAGUCACCAUUUCCUCUCAAGCCAGUGUUGAUGUACACAGAGAAAUAUCUGGAUCUGAACAAAACUUGGACAAAGCGCAUCAUGUGUGUGCUAAACAGAUUUGAUUGUGUCUGACUCUUUGCAACCCCGUGGACUGUAGCCCGCCAGGCUCCUCUGUCUAUGGGAUUCUCCUUAAGUCAACGGGAAAAAAGAAAAGCUCUUCUUGUCUCUGGGAUAACGGAAGUGUUGGGACAGAGCACGCAGUAUGGAGGCCACAGGGCUCAGCUGGAGACGACAGGAUGUGAUGGAGAUGCUCAGUACCUGGAUGCUUCUGACCAGUCAUGACACACACGUUUUAUUGUUCAUUGCGUCUCUGGCUGGUUGUGAUGACAAUUUCUCUCGCCAAGAAUAUCAGGGAAGCCAAACAAAGUAGAAGCCUCUGUGGCCACAAUAAUAUCUACCGGCACCAAAUAAAAGGAACCUGU